rnacentral:tRNA from 1 species
UGCGGCCAUGGUGGAACUGGUAGACACGCUAGCUUGAGGUGCUAGUGGCGAGAGCCAUGGAAGUUCAAGUCUUCUUGGCCGCAUC